AGCUUUGCGCAGUGGCAAUAUCGUAGCCAAUGAGGUUUAUCUGAGGCACGAUUAUUGCUAAUUAAGUCCUUAAAAAAAAAAGUCUAUUUUAAAGCAUGUUCUUUAAGAUGACCACUGUUAGAUACAAUUAGAUGU